rnacentral:lncRNA from 1 species
CCCACCCCUUUUGUUAUGUUAGUACGGGCCUAGCAUGAAAUGGCACAAGGGCAUACUCAAUCAUGCCAUCGGCCAAUCAGCAUAGACCCCAGCAUUGGCACCGCGAUCCUUGCUUGAAACUUUGCACAAUAAGGUGAAAAAAUGGAUCUAUGCUGAUUACUCCCUUAACAUCUUUCAAUUUCAUAAAAAAAAAUUGGCUUAGCCUAUAGUUUAGGUAAUAGCAAGGAUUGAAACACCAGGUAUGCCAACACUAUGUUAGAAAUAAUGCAUCAUAUAGACCCAAACCGAUUUAGAGGGAUUAAUUGGGGGU